rnacentral:tRNA from 1 species
GUAUAGGGUGUAGUGGUUUCAGCAUUGGACUACAACUCUGGAGACCAGGGUUCAAAUCCCCGCUUGGCCA